GUGAAACCGAAUUGAUUUUUGUUCAAUAAUUUACAAAAAUGAAUUUGUAGCUGCUGAAGCAAAAGUCAAAAGAAAGAACUUGAUAUCACUCUUCAUAAAUCAUUAAAAGUCGAUACCCAUCAUCGUAUUUGUUUUGGAUGUAAUGUAAAGUAUAAUCUGUAUAUGCUUAUAUGGUACUUCCGUGAUAACGUGUAAAUAGUUUUAGUUUGUAGUUCACGUAUUGUAUGCCGUACACAUUACACAAAAUACAAUUUUGCUAAUCAUUGUUCACUAGGCCUUAAAAAAAUUUAACAAAAAAACAACCGACUCCAAAAAUAACAAUCUUUACUAGAAUUAGAUUGUAUAAAAAUACGUAAUUAUUUUUAUUCUUUUUAGUGCAUAUUAUAUCUAUUGUUUUGGAAUAGUGUUUUCGAAGUCGAUUGCUUUUUGUUAAAUUUCGGCCUAGUAUCGUUAAUUUGCUCCUAAGAAUUGAAGACUUCCGUUACUUUGUUAUGGAUCCCAUAAGCAGAACCUAACCAAACUGUCACCAAACUACGAAGUAAAUCGGCUGGCGCGAUCAAUCCUGUGCGUCAGGAUAUUGCGCUGUCGAUGCGACUGGUGAGUUAUGAGAUGAAGCAGUCUACGGAUGGAGCGAAGGGAGGAAAGAAGGAGGGUGCCGUUAUGAUCACCGGCACUGUCGACAGAGCGGGGUCGCAGCGUGCGUGGUGGAGGUGCUGGGUGCAAGAAGGACAUGAAACAUGGCGGUCACACACGGAUAUGCAAUAGAUGGUUUUGCUGGAUGGCAGUGGUAUGACCAUUUCAUUUAAAACCUUAUGUGAUUUCAGAACACAGCGCGAGAUAACCUGAUUCAAAUGUGGGUCGUAUUCAUGCCAACUUUUAUAGAAGACCAUUGCGAGUAUUACCAGCAACUUAGUGCACCAUUCAAGUGCACAUAAUAC